GAUGAACGCUGGCGGCGUGCCUAAUACAUGCAAGUCGAGCGAACAGACGAGGAGCUUGCUCCUCUGACGUUAGCGGCGGACGGGUGAGUAACACGUGGAUAACCUACUUAUAAGACUGGGAUAACUUCGGGAAACCGGAGCUAAUACCGGAUAAUAUAUUGAACCGCAUGGUUCAAUAGUGAAAGACGGUUUUGCUGUCACUUAUAGAUGGAUCCGCGCCGCAUUAGCUAGUUGGUAAGGUAACGGCUUACCAAGGCAACGAUGCGUAGCCGACCUGAGAGGGUGAUCGGCCACACGGGAACUGGGACACGGUCCAGACUCCUACGGGAGGCAGCAGUAGGGAAUCUUCCGCAAUGGGCGAAAGCCUGACGGAGCAACGCCGCGUGAGUGAUGAAGGUCUUCGGAUCGUAAAACUCUGUUAUUAGGGAAGAACAAAUGUGUAAGUAACUAUGCACGUCUUGACGGUACCUAAUCAGAAAGCCACGGCUAACUACGUG
rnacentral:rRNA from 1 species